rnacentral:tRNA from 1 species
GGAUCUUAUAUUCAUUAAAAUGAUAUUAAAUUGCAAAUUUAAAGGAGUAGAUUAUACUAAGAUUU